rnacentral:rRNA from 1 species
CAGCCGCCGCGGUAAUACGGGGGGAGCGAACGUUGUUCGGAUUCACUGGGCGUAAAGGGCGUGUAGGCGGUUUUGUCAAGUCAGAGGUGAAAUUUCUCGGCUCAACCGGGAACCUGCCUUUGAAACUGCUGAACUUGAGGCCGUGAGAGGAGACUGGAAUUCCUAGUGUAGCGGUGAAAUGCAUAGAUAUUAGGAAGAACACCAGCGGCGAAGGCGAGUCUCUGGCACGGUUCUGACGCUGAUGCGCGAAAGCUAGGGGAGCGAACGGGAUUAGAUACCCCGGUAGUCCUAGCCGUAAACGAUGGGCACUAGGUGUUGGCCGAUCGACCCGGUCAGUGCCGCAGCUAACGCAUUAAGUGCCCCGCCUGGGGAGUACGACCGCAAGGUUGAAACUCAAAGGAAUUGACGGGGGCCCGCACAAGCGGUGGAGCAUGUGGUUUAAUUCGACGCAACGCGAAGAACCUUACCCAGGCUUGACAUUCUAGGGACAGCCUCAGAGACGAGGUCUUCCUUCGGGACCCUAGGACAGGUGCUGCAUGGCUGUCGUCAGCUCGUGUCGUGAGAUGUUGGGUUAAGUCCCGCAACGAGCGCAACCCUUGCCCUUAGUUGCCAGCGGUUCGGCCGGGCCCUCUAAGGGGACUGCCCCGGAAAACGGGGAGGAAGGUGGGGAUGACGUCAAGUCCUCAUGGCCCUUACGCCUGGGGCUACACACGUGCUACAAUGGUCGGUACAGAGGGUUGCAAUGCCGCGAGGUGGAGCUAAUCCCAAAAAGCCGGCCUCAGUUCGGAUUGCAGUCUGCAACUCGACUGCAUGAAGUCGGAAUCGCUAGUAAUCGCGGAUCAGCAG